GUACUGAUGAAGGGUCCUAAAUUAGGACGAAACAGCUGUCAAGUAC
rnacentral:hammerhead_ribozyme from 1 species